rnacentral:misc_RNA from 1 species
GGAAUGAUGGAUUUCCCUCCAAUUCCCACCCGCACCCGCACGCUUUAUCUCCAGAUUCUAUGAUUACCCUACCCAAUCCACCUCCAUUUUUAAACUCUUCAGCUUGAUUCCCGUAAUAUCACUUCUUUUUGGAAAAAAAAAAAGAAAAAAUUGACUCUGUUUCUACUUCUAGGGUUUGCAAUNNNNGUUUCUGCUGAGCAUUUAGGGUUUCUAAUAUUGCUUGCUUCGUCUCAGGUUAGCUUGACAUGGAUCCUACAAAGCAAACUUUCCCACACCGAACACUUUCUGUCAAAUUGUGGCCUCCUAGUCAGAGUACUAGGCUAAUGCUUGUAGAG